rnacentral:rRNA from 1 species
GACGAACGCUGGCGGCGUGCUUAACACAUGCAGGUCGAACGGAAAGGCCCUGCUUUUGUGGGGUGCUCGAGUGGCGAACGGGUGAGUAACACGUGAGUAACCUGCCCUUGACCUUGGGAUAACUUCAGGAAACUGGGGCUAAUACCGGAUAGGAGCUCCUGCUGCAUGGUGGGGGUUGGAAAGUUUCGGCGGUUGGGGAUGGACUCGCGGCUUAUCAGCUUGUUGGUGGGGUAGUGGCUUACCAAGGCUUUGACGGGUAGCCGGCCUGAGAGGGUGACCAGCCACAUUGGGACUGAGAUACGGCCCAGACUCCUACGGGAGGCAGCAGUGGGGAAUAUUGCACAAUGGGCGGAAGCCUGAUGCAGCAACGCCGCGUGCGGGAUGACGGCCUUCGGGUUGUAAACCGCUUUCGCCUGUGACGAAGCGUGAGUGACGGUAAUGGGUAAAGAAGCACCGGCUAACUACGUG